rnacentral:rRNA from 1 species
UACGAGAGGCCCAAACGUUAUUCGGAUUUACUGGGCUUAAAGAGUUCGUAGGCGGUUCGGUAAGUGAGGUGUGAAAUCCCUUGGCUCAACCAAGGAAUUGCGCUUCAAACUGCCGGGCUCGAGGGAGAUAGAGGUGAGCAGAACUGAUGGUGGAGCGGUGAAAUGCGUUGAUAUCAUCAGGAAUACCAGAGGCGAAGGCGGCUCACUGGGUCUCUUCUGACGCUGAGGAACGAAAGCUAGGGGAGCAAACGGG